rnacentral:rRNA from 1 species
AUCAUGGCUCAGAGUGAACGCUGGCGGCAGGCCUAACACAUGCAAGUCGAACGGCAGCACAGAGGAGCUUGCUCCUUGGGUGGCGAGUGGCGGACGGGUGAGGAAUACGUCGGAAUCUGCCCAGUCGUGGGGGAUAACAUAGGGAAACUUAUGCUAAUACCGCAUACGACCUACGGGUGAAAGCGGGGGAUCGCAAGACCUCGCGCGAUUGGAUGAGCCGAUGUCCGAUUAGCUAGUUGGCGGGGUAAUGGCCCACCAAGGCGACGAUCGGUAGCUGGUCUGAGAGGAUGAUCAGCCACACUGGAACUGAGACACGGUCCAGACUCCUACGGGAGGCAGCAGUGGGGAAUAUUGGACAAUGGGCGCAAGCCUGAUCCAGCCAUGCCGCGUGGGUGAAGAAGGCCUUCGGGUUGUAAAGCCCUUUUGUCCGGAAAGAAAAGCUCGAGGUUAAUACCUUCGGGUUCUGACGGUACCGGAAGAAUAAGCACCGGCUAACUUCGUG